rnacentral:rRNA from 1 species
AGCGAACGCUGGCGGCGUGCUUAACACAUGCAAGUCGAGUGCGUAGCCCUUUGUAGCAAUACAGAGGGUGGGCGCACGGCGCACGGGGUGAGUAACACGUGGGUAACCUGCCCUUCGGUGGGGAAUAACCCGCGAAAGCGGGGCGUAAUUCCGCAUAACAUUCCGGGGACACAUGUUCUCGGACUCAAAGGAGUGAUUCGCCGGA